AAAAACCCCGCUUGGCCGUAUCCCUCCCUUUCCUGUCUCCUCCCCCACAGCUCCUUCCACACCACCGCCGGCGCCCUCUCCCACGCUGCUCCUCUCCUCCCCCGCCUCCCUCCCUUCCUUUCCCUUCCCCUCUACUUCCCCACCUUCCUCACCUCCCUUCCCCUCUCCUCCCCUACCUCCCUCCCCUCCUGCUAGGCCUCCCCGCCGAGCGGCGCGGGGCACGCAGCGGCCGAGCGGUCAAGCCGCGGUGUCGGGGAGUGCGGAUCUACGGCGGGGUGGGCGGAUCUGCGGUGCGGUGGCGGGGCGUACGGAUCUGCGUCGCGGCAGCGGUGCCGGGCCUCACCUCUUCCACGCGAGCGGGGAUGCGCGGUGACCGGCGCGGCGGUGCGGAAGCGCAACGAGUGGGGCGAAGGCGUGGACGUGCUGCUUGGACUGGGCGUCUUCACUACCCUGCAUCGUGGUGUUAAGGUAAUUUCUAUAUUUGCAAUUCAUUCUGAUACGAGGAGCCAAUACAAAGACGCCUCCCUCUCCUUGUUUUUCCCACACCCUCGGCGCAAUCAUCUGAAUGGCAUUCCUGUUCGAGGGGCAAGUGUUGCAUUGUUGAUAUAUGCCAGAUCCUAAAGAGAGGGGGAUAACUAGCUUUAGCUUGAAGUUAGUGCUGGUUAGUUGCCUAAAUAGGAGUACCGAUUGAUAUUCAAUUGUGGAUUUGACAUGAAAUUGUCUGCUACAAUGAGCACAUUAGGAGGUGAAUUUGUGGCUUCAGCGAACACGAUCUAGAAAUUGUUCAAUGACUAAUUACAUGGUGCAGUGCCUGCCGCUCGUAACAUGCUAUAAAAUUAUUUUCAUUAUUGCAGUGUUCUGGUAGGCAUAUGUCAACUUCUAUUAGGUCAAUUCUUGCGUAGCCACCUUGCAUCGAUAUUUAAUGGGGACCUCCAAAAUUGUUCUUGGACAUUGCUUUAAUUCUCCUGUUGUUUGCAGUUCCGGUGGACAUGCUAGAAGCACAUAGUGGAUCUUUUGCCAUGGCUGCAAAGUGAAUAUGGAUGAUCUCGUAGUAAAAAAUAAGCUUGAUGGAGCUUUUGCAUCUAACAGUGUGUUUGCCUUCAUUCCUUGUUGUUCGAUGUUUAUUUAAACCAUACCUCUACUGCUUGAGUCCCUAUAUUUUCUCAUGUUCAUGGCAUUAAGUGAAUAGAAAAAAACUUGAGGUUAGUAAAUGGAAAAAGAUCCAUUAGAGCCUUAAAUUAUGAUCUUAUCACUUAUAUAAUCAGCAGUGUUAUUUGCUCAUUUUUUCUAUUUAUAUUAGUAAAUGUCUAUUCUACUGCUAACGAGGAGGCUGCAGCUGGUAGCAUGCUAACCUGGAGCAGCGGUGAGACCAGGUGAGACCGUACCUCAUGAUAUUGAUUGCCAUGUUGUGAUAGAAUCAAAGCUUUUCUUCCCUAAUUAAGUUUAGAAGGCCAUGCAAAUAAAUUUGACGUAUUAUUUCUGAUGACAGAAUUAAUCUCACUUAUAAAUAACUAAAUCAGUGCAAAUAUCUUAGAUGAUGAGCUCUUAGUUAAUAAUAGCUAAGGAAAGCAAAAUAACUGAUUCAGAGUUAAGAGUAGUACUGAGCUUCAGUCUGUCAUGCAAAUAAAUUUGACGUAUUCUUUCUGAUUACAGAAUCAAUCUCAAAUAUAAAUAACCAAGUCAGUGCAAAUAGCUUAAGUGAUGACCUCUUAGUUAAUAAUAGCUAAAGAAAGAAAAAUAGCGGAUUCAGAAUUAAGAGUAGUACUGAGCUUCAGUCUGUUAGUAAAGCAAGACCGAUUGCAUUAGCUCAGUACAAAAUAGAAGUAUGAUGGCAAUAAAUUGUCAUUCAGUGAAUUCUGAAGAUGAAGUAGACAUGGAUCUAACUAGAAGAAUAUAUAUGAAGGAUCCUGCAACAAUCUAUUUAAAUUUUUUCCUGGCGAUUUCCUAUUGUUAGAGAGGGAGGGUUGAACAAGUGUUACUCUUCCACUAGGAUAAAUAAACUGAUGUGUCUACUCAAUGUGAUAUGAUCUUUAACAGUUUUGCAGUACAUUUGAGAAAACAACACUAGACUAAUAUCAAAGUUAGUUUCCAAUUCCUAAUUCUGACAAUUUGGUGACCUGUGGUUCAUGUCGCGACUAGCUUAAAUUAAUCACAUAAUCACUUUCUAGGUCAACUUUCAUGAUAUUUCUGUUGAACAUAUCCUUUUAAACCAAUCAAGACCAUGAUCUUUUGUAUGAAGUCCUCUCCUUGAUGUAAAUUGCAAAACCAUAAUAUUUUUAGUUUGUUCAGUUUCUUUUCCUCCAUUCAAGGCUGCUGUCUCUCCUGUCUCCUUUGAGGACACUAAACCUGCAAGUAAGACUUUACAAUUUUUCACAUUAACUAUGAUUGGUUGCUAAUAACCUUCUUUCUCUACAGUGCUCAAAACUAUUCUAUCUUGCUAGGUAUGAUGCAAGUAAUUCGUUAAAAUUCUUAUUCUUAUCGAUGCAUAAUUUGGACCCGCGAACUGAUGGUAGUUGUUUAUAGUUCAGUUUGUAUUACUCACAUUAUUUGGUGGUCCUUAGUUAAUGAACAAUCCUCUUGCCAUUGCCUUGUAAAUUUCCCUUCCUUUCCUGCAUCUGCACAUAGUUUUCAAGAUUCACGCCAAGUUUCAAGCUUUCAUUUGUUGUCAAGUAAGGGUCGAAUUUCUUACACUUAUAAGGCAUACCUAAAUGGCUUGGUUCAAUAUGUUGGUUUCAUAAGUUGUGAGUUGGGACAACUAUGGCGUGGCAAUGUUGGUGUUCCUAAAUAUUAUGUGUGAUAUCUAUAUUUUUCUAUAUUUGGUCAUCAGUUCUAAAAGACUAUUGUUUAAGGAGUGCAUUGCUAAUUGUGUCGGCCUUUUUAUUGAUACUCAGUCUAGAAUCAUGAUAAGUGUAUUUGACAUUACAUUAUAAAUCAGCUGUUUGAAUGAUCUCCCACAAA